UUCACAUUGUGCUACUGUCUGC
rnacentral:miRNA from 1 species